UAGGGAAUCUUCGGCAAUGGACGAAAGUCUGACCGAGCAACGCCGCGUGAGUGAAGAAGGUUUUCGGAUCGUAAAACUCUGUUGUUAGAGAAGAACAAGGACGUUAGUAACUGAACGUCCCCUGACGGUAUCUAACCAGAAAGCCACGGCUAACUACGUGCCAGCAGCCGCGGUAAUACGUAGGUGGCAAGCGUUGUCCGGAUUUAUUGGGCGUAAAGCGAGCGCAGGCGGUUUCUUAAGUCUGAUGUGAAAGCCCCCGGCUCAACCGGGGAGGGUCAUAGGAAACUGGGAGACUUGAGUGCAGAAGAGGAGAGUGGAAUUCCAUGUGUAGCGGUGAAAUGCGUAGAUAUAUGGAGGAACACCAGUGGCGAAGGCGGCUCUCUGGUCUGUAACUGACGCUGAGGCUCGAAAGCGUGGGGAGCAAACAGG
rnacentral:rRNA from 1 species